rnacentral:rRNA from 1 species
CGGACGGGUGAGUAACGCGUGGAGAACCUGCCGUAUACUGGGGGAUAACACUUAGAAAUAGGUGCUAAUACCGCAUAAGCGCACAGCUUCGCAUGAAGCAGUGUGAAAAACUCCGGUGGUAUACGAUGGAUCCGCGUCUGAUUAGCUGGUUGGCGGGGUAACAGCCCACCAAGGCGACGAUCAGUAGCCGGCCUGAGAGGGUGGACGGCCACAUUGGGACUGAGACACGGCCCAAACUCCUACGGGAGGCAGCAG